rnacentral:lncRNA from 1 species
AGAACAGUCAGCAAGUAGCCUCCAGCUGGGGACAGCAUCAGCUGCAGAGAGCCACCUCACUCAAGUUUGUGCCCUUCCCAAGAUGGGCCAAUGUGCAGGUGUUGGCCUCAAGGGCACUUCCUAACAUCCUGUAUAAUGACAUCUUGGUCUGCCUCCUGGGAACAUAGUCUGCCUCAGAUCCUGUGGGAACACCCCUCCAGGCAUGAGCACCUCCUUGUGCUGGGUGUUGAGAGAUGCACAUUUUUCAAACAACAUGACCCCUGAACACAAACUACUUCCUCUGUAGUGCAUCCAAAUAAAUGGUGAACUAUUGCACUGAUGG